UUUGACCUCAAAUCAGGUAGGACUA
rnacentral:ncRNA from 5 species